rnacentral:lncRNA from 1 species
UUAGCCCUUUUGGAUCAUACCAGAAACAGAUCAUAGCAACUAUUAGUUCAUUGCCAUUGGAUCGAGGAGAAGAGAAGGGAGGAGUUUAGAAAGCCAUGAGAGAGUAAGAAGUUGCUUAAUGGAAACUUUCUUGAUUUUAUUCAAAAAUGACUUCUCCUUAUAUAGGGAGGAGAAUCACAACAAGAAUACAAAAGGAGGCUAAGUGGGGAUCCCACUCAUCCUCCACUUACAAGACAAUAAGGAUGACUCAUCAUUCACUCACAUGCCUAAUA